UCCAGUUGCAUGGCUAGGCG
rnacentral:misc_RNA from 1 species